rnacentral:rRNA from 1 species
UAGGGAAUCUUCGGCAAUGGGGGCAACCCUGACCGAGCAACGCCGCGUGAGUGAAGGAGGUUUUCGGAUCGUAAAGCUCUGUUGUAAGAGAAGAACGUGUGUGAGAGUGGAAAGUUCACACAGUGACGGUAACUUACCAGAAAGGGACGGCUAACUACGUGCCAC